UACGGAGGGGGCGAGCGUUAUUCGGAAUUAUUGGGCGUAAAGCGCACGUAGUCGGCUUUGCAAGUCUGUCGUGAAAGCCCCGGGCUCAACCUGGGAAUGGCGAUGGAUACUGGCUCGCUAGAGUGCGGUAGAGGAGAGUGGAAUUCCCGGUGUAGCAGUGAAAUGCGUAGAGAUCGGGAGGAACAUCAGUUGCGAAGGCGGCUCUCUGGACCAGCACUGACACUGAGGCACGAAAGCGUGGGGAGCAAACAGG
rnacentral:rRNA from 1 species